rnacentral:tRNA from 3 species
GGGCGCUUGGCACAGGGGUAGCGCGCACGCUUCGCAGUCUUGAAUGCGUGAGGUCGUGGGUUCAAAUCCCACAGUGUCCA